UUUCCGUUGAUCCUGCCGGACCCGACUGCUAUCAGAGUGGGACUAAGCCAUGCGAGUCAACAUAGCAAUAUGUGGCAUACGGCUCAGUAACACGUAGUCAACAUGCCCAGGGGACGUGGAUAACCUCGGGAAACUGAGGAUAAACCGCGAUAAGUCACUACUUCUGGAAUGGGUAAUGACUCAAAUCUACAUGGCCCCUGGAUUGGACUGCGGCCGAUCAGGCUGUUGGUGAGGUAAUGGCCCACCAAACCUGUAACCGGUACGGGCUCUGAGAGGAGGAGCCCGGAGAUGGGCACUGAGACAAGGGCCCAGGCCCUAUGGGGCGCAGCAGGCGCGAAACCUCUGCAAUAGGCGAAAGCCUGACAGGGUUACUCUGAGUGAUUUCCGUUAAGGAGAUCUUUUGGCACCUCUAAAAAUGGUGCAGAAUAAGGGGUGGGCAAGUCUGGUGUCAGCCGCCGCGGUAAUACCAGCACCCCGAGUGGUCGGGACGUUUAUUGGGCCUAAAGCAUCCGUAGCCGGUUCUACAAGUCUUCCGUUAAAUCCACCUGCUUAACAGAUGGGCUGCGGAAGAUACUAUAGAGCUAGGAGGCGGGAGAGGCAAGCGGUACUCGAUGGGUAGGGGUAAAAUCCGUUGAUCCAUUGAAGACCACCAGUGGCGAAGGCGGCUUGCCAGAACGCGCUCGACGGUGAGGGAUGAAAGCUGGGGGAGCAAACCGGAUUAGAUACCCGGGUAGUCCCAGCUGUAAACGAUGCAGACUCGGUGAUGAGUUGGCUUCUUGCCAACUCAGUGCCGCAGGGAAGCCGUUAAGUUUGCCGCCUGGGGAGUACGGUCGCAAGACUGAAACUUAAAGGAAUUGGCGGGGGGAGCA
rnacentral:rRNA from 1 species